CUCUCGUCGCCGCUCCACCCGCUGACUCCACCGCGUCGCCGCUUACCCCGGCCAAUCCCGGCCACUCCCGGCCCACUCCGCCGCCGGUGAGGUGGGGCUUUGGUCCGACUCGAUCUGCCCUACAAUCCUAUCCAGCUGGACUUGGUCCCCACGGCUUCUCGUGCAUGCCACCGACCCCGGAACCCUAAAUGUCGCCGGCUGAUUUCGCCGCCGCCGGUGUACUCCGGCCGACCGACGUGCUAGUUCCGCUCCGGCGCCACGUCGUGGUCGUCCUCCCCCGCGUGCUCCGCCUCGUACACCACCACUCGCGGCUCCAAUUCGCUUCCCACGCGGAACCCUAACCCCGUCGCUCGGCAUGGGCGCCGAGGACAACGCGGCCAUUCCCGCGCGGCGUCCUGGAGGCCUACCUCGUCCUCCAUAGCUCGAAUCCCCACUGCUGCUUGCCUUUCGUCAGCCACGACUUAUUCUCCAAGCGCUUGUUACUCCGUCUCGUGUACUUUAACCUCGACGUCCUCUGAUCCGCCGCCUCGCGGUGAUGCUGCUAUGCUGCUCAGGUGGCGAUGGCUGCUGCGGCUAUGAGGAAUACCUCCGGCUCCGGUGCUCCCAUCGUGGCAUCCUUGGAUCAAGACCUAAACUAUCUGAAUUGGAGACAGAAAAACUGAAGAUGAAACUUGUGCUUGAACAAUAUCGAGUGGAUACUAAAGAACCAACAUGUGACGAUUAAGCGGCUUGAGGAGCAAAACUGCCAACUGGAACAAUAGGUUGUAGAGCUGGAAGAGCUGAGGGGACCUGCUUCUGAAUCUAUCUUAACCUUUUCAUGGAAGUGAGGAAAUGUUCAACGUAUCUGUCUUAAUGUUUUCAUGGAAGCGAGGAAAUGUUAACUGCGAAUGCUUCUAUGAUCUUCUGUCAAGAUAAGGAGUGUUAAAAACAAUGUCUAAGUCUGGUUGCCACACCCUAUAAGGUAUUCUCUCAACCCACUGACCAUAGAUAGAACAAUUACAUCCCUGUUGUGAUUUGGUGUGGAUUAAUUAUCUUAUAUUUCAUAUCUUCUAAAACAGAUAGUUUCUUCUUAAUUAAAAAUAUCUAUGGUAGCCCUCAUAUUGUUUAUAUUCGUCUGGUUUUCGUUUGCUUCAAGAGUUUUUUUUUUGCGGAAGCUUAAAGAGUCAUGUAUAUAUGUUUGAUCAUAUAAUAGUGUUGGAUCAUAUAUUUAGUUCCAAAUUGUAGGCUUCUUUGUUCAGUGUUCACUUUAUCUUCAUGUAGACAAGCUUGUUUCGCUGUGCGUGGUUGCAAUUAGUAUAUCCUUAAAAAGAAGCUUCAAAAAUUAAACUUGUGAUAAGCCAUGAAAAGUUUGUUAAGUCAAGCUCAUUUGUACAUUAUAUUUAUGCGACCUCAUAGGAGAAUAGUGUUGUGGUUUUAGGUUUUUGCUUCUAGUCUCCUUUUAGUUUUGCCUUUGAUGAGGGUAUUGUAGAGUUCAAAAUUUCAGUGACGGAAAAUGCAGAGGUGCUACCUCAAAAUCAGAUGCCAUGGCAACAUUGUAGCCAGCCCACUUACACACUGCAUGACAGAACUGAUUGUAAAGUGCGCGUGCUUCUUAGUACGCUAGUAACCAUGUGUUAGGCCCAUCAUUCACUAAGUCACUGUGACUUUUCGGUAUUCUUCUUAGAUGAACUGGGGCAAUGCCUUUCUUUAGAGUAAAAUUACUCGUUCCAGUAAACAAUAUAGAUGUAAUAGUUUAUAGGUGGCGACCUGUACAACACUUGGUUUUUUCAGCAGCAUCUGCAUACUUGGUUGAGUAUCAUUGUGAUUGUUCACUGUAAUCACUUCUUCAUCAUUUUAAUCCUCCUUUGUCAAAUUUGAUUAUUUACAUCAAAACUGAACCACACUUUUAAUUACCAUGCUCCUGCAUGACGGAUCCACGAUGCUACUGUAUGCAUGUACAAUGCUUUCUGGUACGGCUUUAUUGCUCAUGAUGCUGUGCUGCAGCAACCGCCGUCUUCUGGCUACGCCCUACCUAUUCAGAUCCAUCUAUGGCCGUCGUUGUGACGGUAUGCCCGCUUUUCUCCCUCUCUACCUUAUUGCUCUCUGCCCCCACAUUUCUCCAUUUUUUCUCGCUAACCGACCCUUCUUGUACCCUCUGAAUGUUGUUGUGUAGUGGUGCACACAUGUUUAAUGGGGAUACAAGUAAACAGUGGAAAUAGGGUUCAGUAGUGUGUCAUAUGACUUCUGAAACAAUUUGAUUUGACACAUGUUUUGUUGCUCAGCAUUCAACAGUUAAUACUAGUCCAUAUGUUUAUACCGUUAUCUUCUGAUUUUGUAGGGUUUAGAAAUUUGACUAGUUUCUUCUCGUACCCCUGCAUAAGUUGAUAUUCUUGUGCUUUAGUAACUUCUAGUAUAUAUGCUUUACAACCAAGAACAUCCUGUAAAAUGUGAAACAGUUGUAUGUAUAUUUUAACCAAGCACAUCUCUAUGGUGCACAUGCUUUGACACUCCAGUUUACUUGAGUCAGGUCUUCUUCAGUAAGCAAGUCAUAGCCUAUUUGCAUGACCAUAUUCAUGAAAGUACAUUGCUUAAUUCUAUUUGAACUUACUUCUUUCAUUCUCCUGUCUUUUUUUCAUAUUCAGUGUUUUCUGGUAAUCCUGCGUGAGAGUAUUGUCACUUUCCAUAUUGACGGUAUAUACUAUGUACGCACAUUUUAGUUGAUGCAGAAAUUGUUACCUAUGUACUGUGCCAUAGUCAAUUCGCUUUUAUGCCAUAUAUGUCUUUUGUCUUGCUUCCUUACAUGCAGUGCGGUGGAAGAUCGAGAAGUUGUAAAGCGAUGGAGUACUGUGAGAAGUACCCUCACCAUCGAGGGUGUCCUGGUUGCCUCUUACCUCUCUAGGUCUGUUCUCGAUUGGUUUCACCGGAGUUUACAUACUGUGACUGUUAGUGGAAAUUGUAAGUUUAUGUUAGUUGAAAUUGUAAGUUUAUUUUUUAACAGGAAGAAUGUAGGUGACAAAUUGUUUCUUGCACAUUGAAUUGCUACGUACUGAAAUGAAUUCCAUGAAUUCCAGAUUCUUGUUUAUGUUG